CAGACUCUAGAGGGAUGAGUCUCCAGCACUAUUUUCAACCUGCCCCAUUGGGGAGAAUGAGGACGUGAGACACCAAGAAGGUGAAGUUUUCAGGAGCAGAGGAGAAACAUUACACCAAGAUGUCUGAACUUCAUUGACUCACUACCUGGAGCCAUUUUUUAGCUGUUAAGAAACAGAAAAAGGAGCCUGGGGCUUCUGACUGUUUCACCAGGCUUAGGGGAGUGAGAGGAGGGUUUAGACACGGGUAGGGCCUCUUGGCCCGUUGGUGCAGCCCCGUUGAGCCAUCUCCUCCUUUGGCUGGGUGACUCCUUUCUGCUGCCUUGACAACUCCUGGAGGAGAGGAGAAACAGAUGGGGCCUCUGGGCUCCUCCCAGCCCUGUAGGGUGGGGCUCCUGCCCUCUCUCUUGAAGUUUACCUGUUGCCGCCACAAGUUCUGCUUCAUUCGUCUUUCCUUUGAAUCCUGGGUGGUGCAGGAACUAGCCUUGUUCAGUGGACUGGGGGAGAACUGGAGGGGAAAUUCACUGUGUUUUCUGUUAAGCCAGCACUGACCCCAACAACUCCCCUCACUAGUCCAGCUUCCCAAAAGUCUAAACUGAAACAAUAAACUCACCUUCUCAUGAAUCAGAUUCUGCAAA
rnacentral:lncRNA from 1 species